GUGCUUGCUACGGCAGCAUAUACACUAAACUUGAAACGAUACAGAGAAGAUUAGGAUGGCCCCUGCACAAGGAUGACCCACAAAUCCAUGCAGUGUUCCAUAUUUUU
ensembl:snRNA U6 U6 spliceosomal RNA